ACGAGUUUGAUCCUGGUCAGAUUGAACGCUGGCGGCAUGCCUUACACAUGCAAGUCGAACGGCAGCGCGGGCUUCGGCCUGGCGGCGAGUGGCGAACGGGUGAGUAAUACAUCGGAACGUGCCCUGUCGUGGGGGAUAACUAGUCGAAAGAUUAGCUAAUACCGCAUACGACCUGAGGGUGAAAGCGGGGGACCAGUAACGGCCUCGCGCUACAGGAGCGGCCGAUGUCUGAUUAGCUAGUUGGUGGGGUAAGAGCCUACCAAGGCGACGAUCAGUAGCUGGUCUGAGAGGACGAUCAGCCACACUGGGACUGAGACACGGCCCAGACUCCUACGGGAGGCAGCAGUGGGGAAUUUUGGACAAUGGGGGCAACCCUGAUCCAGCAAUGCCGCGUGUGUGAAGAAGGCCUUCGGGUUGUAAAGCACUUUUGUCCGGAAAGAAAUCGCGCUGGUUUAUACCUGGCGUGGAUGACGGUACCGGAAGAAUAAGCACCGGCUAACUACGUGCCAGCAGCCGCGGUAAUACGUAGGGUGCGAGGCGUUAUCGGAAUUACUGGGCGUAAGGCGUGCGCAGGCGGUUUGAUAAGACAGGC
rnacentral:rRNA from 1 species